rnacentral:tRNA from 7 species
GCUUAGGUAGUUCAAUGGUUAGAACAGAUACCUCAUAUGUAUCUAAUAUAGGUUCAAUUCCUUUCUUAAGCU